GACAGAGGGUGCAAACGUUGCUCGGAAUUACUGGGCGUAAAGGGCGCGUAGGCGGCCUGCUAAGUCGAACGUGAAAUCCCUGGGCUCAACCCAGGAACUGCGUCCGAUACUGGUUGGCUUGAAUCCGGGAGAGGGAUGCGGAAUUCCAGGUGUAGCGGUGAAAUGCGUAGAUAUCUGGAGGAAUACCGGUGGCGAAGGCGGCAUCCUGGACCGGCAUUGACGCUGAUGAGCGAAAGCUAGGGGAGCAAACGGG
rnacentral:rRNA from 1 species